rnacentral:lncRNA from 1 species
GGGCGGGGGCUCACCGGGCCGGUCCCCACGGUUCCAGCUAUUCCUGGGGCACGCGGAAGCCAGGUGCUGGAGGCGAGCACGUCACCUCUGUACGUUCGAGCGGAGAACCGCGGGUGUCAGUAGAGCCGGAUGAGCCGCAGCCCAAGCUUGUGCUCGGGCAGUGUUCUGGCUCGGCUGCUUACCAGGGUGUUUAAGUGCAAAAGUCCCCAAGGAUGUUCAGAUCCAUCUGCUGCUGCUGAUUCGUUAGUGGUGUCUGCUGAGUGGACUGGACUGCAGCUGCUGAUUCCUGCUGGUGUUUUGCUGGUGGACUGGAAUGCUGACAAUGAAGAUUAGAAUAGCCCCAAAGAACUACUUCUAAACAGGGUGAGCAUUUCACCACGAGCCACCACCAUGAUAUGCUGUUUACCUCAGGCCCAGAGACGUGGUCACAUGCAGAAAGGACACGUGAGCAUGUGUUUGUGUGACAGUCUUGGGAAAACAGAAUCUCCUGUAUCAUCUGAGAUCAUUUAACUUCUGAGAAGACAAGCUGUAUGCAUACCAAAAAUACCACCCGCAAGAUAUAAAUGCAAGACAGAAGUUACAAAAUCAACUUCUUCUCCCUCACUGCUCCUUGAGUCCUCCUCUGGGCACGGUGGGCCAGUAACAAGCAUAUUUAUUUAGCUGGCAACAUUUUUUUUUUACAAUACUACAGGGAGAAACUGAGUCUGUCACGUGUAUUCCUGGUCUCUCUGAGAACAGGUAGGAGGGAGUACACCCUCCCUCACUGCACUGGUAAUGCUUGCUUCAGAGGGUCCUUUCCACACACCCUGGCUGACACAGUGAGCAGGUGUCUAAACUUCUUACCUUGUAUCUUUUAAUCCUUUCUUUCAUCUUCAAAAAUAUGGAGCUUAAGUAUCCACAGUUUUCAUGUCAGUGAUAGCAAAGCCGGGCUGCUUUUGUAAGUGGUUUGAGGGCCUGUGAGAUGACUUAGACUAUAACAGUGCUUGUUAUGCCAGUCUGAUGAUCUGAGUUCCAUGUUCAGGUCCCACAGUGGAAGGCAGGGAAUGUGUUCUCUAGCCCCCAUGUGAUAGCUACACUCAUACACACAUCACAUACACACAAAUGAUGAUGGUCUGAUGUUGGUAGUGAUGAUAGUGUGGUGAUGAUGAUGGGUCUGGAGAGAUGACAGCGGUUAGGAAACUGUUCUUCCAGAUCCUAGGUUCUGUUCACAGCACCUAUAUCAGAUAGCCCAUAACCACCUGUAACUGUGGCUCCAAGGAAUUUGACACCUCUUCCCUCCAUGAACAUUUACAUGCAUAUAUGUACAUACCCAUUCACAGACACAUAUGCAUAUAUGUGUAUAUAUGCAUAUACAUACUCUGAACUUCUCAGUGGACAAACGUUUGGUUCACCAUGCCCCUUCUCCUCCUGGCCUGGUUUCCGUCUUGUGGUGAUGACUCCGUAUGUGCUAGUGAGCUUCACUGAGAAGCAAGUGUGUGCCAGUAUUUCCCUCAGGCACAGUGACUAAUCCUGAGAGGUGCUCAGCUAGAACCUGCUUCCAAUGCAUGGGUGACCACGAACUAAAUACAUAAUACUCCAGGCAAGCAUGAGUGCCUUCCUCUCUGCAGCUCCUUAGCCUCCCAGAACCACAAGAGGAGUUUUACACAGACCUCCGAGAUGCAUUGCUGUCAGGAUCUGAAGACAACAUUAGAAAACCAAAGAUGGUUUUCACUCUGUUUUUAUAAUAAUAAGAUGCUGUGUACACC